UGUAAACUCCACAAGGGCAAGGAUUUUUGUUCUGUUUACUAAUGUAUCCAAGUACCUGGAACACAUGUUACAUUCGUGAGUAUGUUUUCGUGAUAGUUGAUUACCCUUGCCUACAUAGUUUGCAAAAUUAGCAAGGAGAACAAUAUUCUGAAGCCAAGUUUCCAUGAGUCGAUAUUUCACAUUCAUGUUUGUGACCUGAACCUGUAUUCCUUCAGACAGUGAGAAAAGCCAAAUGUUCUCAUAAGCAGUGAGGAUUUUCUUCAUGGAAAACAAAGAAGUAAAAGUGUAUUCCAAAUAAAAGUAUAAUGCAUAUAUUGAAUAUAGGCAAGUCUACCUAUAUAAAUAUGAAUAAAUGCUUUUAUGCAUUUCAUCAUACGAUUUUUUUCUUGGUAUUAUUUUUAAAGUAAAAAUUGAAGGGAAGGUGCAUGAAGGGAAUCAGAAAAAUCAAGAAAUAUUACCAUUUUUAAUUGAGCAGGCAACAUCAUCUGUAAUUCUAAUGACCCUGCAAAGUAGUAUUUCUGUUUACAUUUUGGAGAUGAGAAGAUUGAUGUUCAGUGAGAUUAAUAGCUUGCCAUGGUUCAAGAACUAAUAAGUAAUAAAGGCAGUAUUGUACGGCAGGGCUUUCUGCCUCUGAAUACCUUAUUCUUUAUCCUACAGCAUGUCAAUUUCUCAUAUAUUGUCAUGGUGUGCUCCCAAAUAACUAUACUCUAUAUUGAUACUUCAUUUUUAAAAUUCACAUUUUGUAACAUUUACACUGUAUACUUUUAAAAUUUAAAUUUUGUAAUAUAGUAUAAUUCUAAAUAACCUGGAAAGAGUGUUCUAUGAAAGGAAAUGGUUUCCUAAUUCCAGGGAGUGGUACAUGGAGGGAAUAAAUGCCUCCUUGUCUGUCAUUUUCAAAUUAAAGCCAUUGCUUUCCAAUUUUAAGCUGACAUAUGUUCUUCCAUUUUACCUCUCUCAUCUUGUUAACAUUUAUUAGUCAUUAUAUAGCCACAUAUAUGAAUGCACAUAAUCACACCAUGAUUUUCAAAGUUUGUUUUUAUUUAAAAUAUUUAAUAUUGCAAAAGUUUUUAAUUGAAAAUGUUGUGUAUAAAGGCAUUACCCAAAGACAUCUUUAUUAUAUAAAUUGACUGCUGAAGAAACUGGGAUGUUAUAUGGUACUUUUUAUGACUAUAGUUUAUUUUGUUCCUAUCAUUAACUGGGAUUACCAUGCCAUAUUAGCCAAGAAAUUGAGAUAAUGUCAUUCUGUAGCCCUUCACAUAAGAUUCACUUCUAGUUUUUCUAAAUUCAGAUGUUUAAUUUUCUAAGAACGAAUACUUUGCCUCAUUUAAUGAGUUUUCACUUUUUAAAGCAUUAAGAAAUAAUGUAUUGUUUUUACUGUGACUUGAGGAUAUAUGACAUAUGAACUCUUAUAUUCUGGUUUAACAUAGAAUUUGAUAUUAUCUUGUUAGAUAAACAUCUAAAUUUUGAGAUAGCCCUCAGAUUUUACAUUUAAUAAGACAAUGAAAAGGGCUCAUUAAACUUCGUUUGAUGAAAGACUGAGAAACCAUAGGGCAGUGAAGGAAUUAGCAUUUGUGAUAAAAGUUAUAUGUUUAAGUGUUGUGGUGGCAUAUGAAAAAGAACACUAGUCUUGAAACAUCAGGAAAUUUAAGUUUUAAUAUUAUAUUUAAUUCUGUAACUUUCCAAGACUCCCUACAGCUGCCUCCCAUUUCUAUCUCUUAUUCAUCAUGAAUUUAACUUUUCCCCUUGCAUUAGUAGAUAAUAAAACCAAGAAAGAGUGAAAGGUUAAUUAUAAUAAUGUUGUGAAGUUGUUUUGUAUGUACUUAAACAUUAUAUAAAUGUAAUUCUUAUAAUAAUGAUGAUUAUUAUAAUAAUAGAGGACCUAUGGAUACUAUUUAUUAAUAUCAAAGAUGAACUUAAAUUAGUAUCUGUUGAAUGAGUAUAUCACUGAAUGACUGAAUGAAUUCAGAUCUCUGGACUCCAAAAUUAUUUAGAUCUCCCUUUGAAUGGAAGGUCCUUCUCCUUGGUUUUGAAAAUAUUAUUUUAAAAGACAACUUAAUAUUGUUAUUUAGUUAUUUUCUAUAAAUGCCAAAGAGAAACUAUAGAGUCCUCCUAAAGACAAGUAAGGAGGUAAAGAAAAACCAAUAAAAUUGAUGAGCUAAAUUGUUAAAUUUUUUUUGUUUUAUAUGUUCCUCAGGUAUUGAGAUUAAAAUUCAGGUGUAGAUGCAGUCUACACUGUAGAUGCAGUGUCCCCGGGGCACAGGAACUCUGUUUAGAUUUUUCCUAUGUGCUUUAUUUUCUUGAUAUUUUCAUUUUGCAGAAUGAAUUUGCCAUUUACUUUUGAUGAAGUUAAUAUCUGUAUACAGUGAUUCUCAACGGGUGGUCCCCAACCAUCCCACACCCCUCGGACAUUUGGCAGGGUCUGGAGACAUUUUUGGUUGUCGCAGGUAGAGUGAUGAUAUUGGCAUCCAGUAGGUAGAGACCAGGGCUGCUGCUGAACAUCCUGUAAUGUACAAAAAAGCUCCCACCACAAAGUAUUAUCUAGCCCAAAAGUCAGUUUUGUUGAGGUUGAGAAACCGUGCUCUCAAGCAUGGAUUUUUAUCUUGAUGGGAGUUUUUAAAAAUGAAUAGCUACAGUGAUGUUUACAGUGUUUUAUAGAGAGAUUUUAUUUCAUUUGUUUGAAUUACUAAGAAGAGAGAAAAGAGACUUUAGAUGUUGAUUUGAGGUUUAUGGACACGGAAAAUGCAAACAUUCUUUGAAAAAUGUUCAUGGAGACAAUAUGGUUAUCUCAUGAUACAGAGGAAUGAAAAUCUUACUUUAUCAUAGAUGGACAUGAGACAUUUUGUGUUUUUUUUUUACCUUCACAAAUAUGGAAGGAAACUUCUACUUUGUAGGAGAUGGGGUUAUAAAGAAUUAUUUCUAUAUGGAUGAAUUAAAUAGUUUAAUAAAAAAGAAUAAUCACAGUAUGUAAAGUUAAUUAGCUUAGCAGAAUAUUCAGCGGCCUGAAGCUCUGAAUUUACUUCUUAGUUGUGACUGUGGUUAAUUUAUUUAAUGUCUAAGCCUCAGUUAACACAUCUGGAAAGUCAUGUGGUUAUUUUAAACUUGUCAAGUGGGUGUUUGCUAAUUUGUAUUGACACUUAACUUUUCUCAGAUGAAUUAAAAGAAUUGUCCAUGGGCUUCCCUGGUGGCACAGUGGUUGAGAGUCCGCCUGCCGAUGCAGGGGACACGGGUUCAUGCCCCGGUCUGGGAAGAUCCCACAUGCCGUGGAGCGGCUGGGCCCAUGAGCCAUGGCCGCUGA